CUCAAGGAUAGUCUGCCCCACUUCCUGCUCAUGUUUCAUUGGCCGAAGCAAGUCACAUGGCCAUGCCCAACAAGGAAGCCAGGAAGUAAACUGCCCCAAAGGAACACACUGGGUACCACAUGAUGACAGGCUUGAGCUGUGUAAUGCUCGCCCUAGUGUCGCCACACCCAGCCCGGUGCAGAGCUCAUGAGGAGGAGGAGGAUGGUGACCACUGCUGGAGAUUUCACGCUGAGAGCCAGGGUCAGCAUCCCUGAAGAGCAGCUGGCAAAUGGAAGUCAUCAAACCACAGGUCACCCAACAAGGACCCAGCCUGUAGUGGCUGCUGACCUCCCCAUCACCAGCUCCAGGAGAGGAGAGACCCGAGGCUCCAAUCCCAGUGUGUCCAGGUCUCACACCUUUGAUACAUCAGGUAGAAGAGUCCUCUCACCUCUCACCAUCUGUCCAGCUCACCUCCCUGAUAGGCACUGAUGGUUGGAUAUGGCUCAGCUCACACCACGUGUAUGGGAGGACUGCCCUCUGCAAAAACCAAGGCAUGUGAAAAGGGACAGGAGACCACUGAGGUCACUGAAGGGCCACAUGGAGUGAUCAACUGGAAAGAAACAAUGACUUCUCAGCCCUUCCAAACCCAGCAUCCGAGGUGUCUCAUCAUAUAACUCCAGGGGCAAAUGUCACAUUGGAGACCUUAGGGAUGUCUCCAGAGAGUGCCAUCAACUUAGAACAGGUGCCAGGAGGCUGUGCCACUGUGCCACCUGGGUCCACCUCUGAUGGAGCCCAUUUUGCUCCAUAGGAAUCAAAAUAAAGCAAAGGAGAAAAGCAUGACGCUUCCCCCUCUUUGGACAUUUGUGAAUUUCAAUAAGGCACCCUCUGACUUCGGCCCCCAUUCAUUCAUUUCACUCCAAAUGCACGAGCUGCUCAUU